AUGGCGCCGCCUCGCUCUCGUCACGUCCGUGACCCGGUGCUGAACAUGGUUUUCCAGGCGGCCUCCGACGACAACCUCCCCCUCUUCAAGGCGCUGGUCAUGGUGCUGGACAUGGGCAGGGGCCGCCCCAAGGAGGCGAUUGAGGGGUUGAGGGUGGAGGAGGCCGGGAAGCUCCAAGGUUUCAGCGCGCUGCACAUCGCCGCCACUAGAGGGAGCCUGCGGGUGUGCAGGUACCUCGUCGAGGACCUGCUGAUAGAUGUGGAUCUGGUCGACAAGGAAGGUAGAACACCUCUGUUGUUUGCAACAUACCACAAUGGGGGUACUGCCGAGUAUCUUCUUGAUCAUGGUGCUGAUCAAGACAAAGCCAAUAAUGAUGGGGUUUCCCUGCUACACUAUGCUGCUGAAUCAGGCAAUUGUGAAAUGCUAGAGCUUUUGCUUGCAAAAGGAGCUUAUGUUGACCCGGUAGCUCCUCAUGGAACACCACUUCAUGGUGCUGCUGGUGAAGGGCAAUAUGGUGCUGUGAAGAUUUUAUUGGACCACAAUGCAGAUUACAACAAGAUGGUAAAUGGUGUGACACCUCUUAUGGCUGCUAGAGAUGCUAACUCAACAGAAUGUAUCAAGCUCCUAGUUAAGGUUCAGGAGGAGCCCAUGCUUAAACGGGAAAUCGUGGCAUCAGAGCUUAUAUCACUAGGGAAUAUCUCUUUAAAGAAAAAAGAUUAUGCUGUCGCAGCAAAAUUGUACAGUCGGGCAAUGCAGCUUGAUCCUGAUGAUGCAGUCUUGUUCUCAGACAGGAGCCUUUGUUGGCUUCACAUGGGCGAUGGAAGAAAGGCUUUGCUAGAUGCUAAUAAAUGCAGAAAAAUGCGACCUCACUGGCCAAAAGCUUGUCGCCGGCAGGGUGAAGCUCUGAUGCUACUGAAGGACUAUGAGGGCGCAAGUGAACGGUUCUUGGAUGGACUCAAAUUGGACCCAGUGGACACUGACAUCGAGGAUGCAUUACGGGAAGCUAUGAAGUCCUAG
rnacentral:rRNA from 1 species